UAAGGCACCCUUCUGAGUAGA
rnacentral:miRNA from 6 species